rnacentral:pre_miRNA from 1 species
AUAUUACUCCCUCCGUCCCAAAAUUUUUGUCUUAGAUUUGUCUAGAUACGGAUGUACCUAAUACUAAAACAUGACUUGAUACAUCCGUAUUUGGACAAAUCUAAGACAAGAAUUUUAGGACGGAGGGAGUAUUAA